AGUUUAUGAGGUCAGGGAGUCAUCUGCGUUUGUAACAAUAAGCAACCAUGUUGUUAUACUUGAAGACAAAAUGGAUAAUGCCAUCCCUUCAUCUCUACCUUUCAAGCCAAUUCCAUCCGUUCAAGACAUUGUGGAUUCUCUUUGGGAAACAGGAGCUGUUGGAUAUUACGAGUUGGUCAUAAACGGAGUGCUGAUAUCGGACAAAAGGAUAAUGGAACUGAAAGGGGAAACGUACCUGUCUGAUGAGGUUAUAGAUGCAUACUUGGCUAUUCUUUCAAGAGUAUAGUAAAAGAAAUAAAAAGAUUCUUGUAAUUGGAUCAGCCAUCAUGUCAGGGAUCUGCAACGGCUUGUGCUACAAACAAAAACUGACCAAGAACAUUCUGGAGGAACAGAGUUCUUAACUUAAAUGUCCAAGAUAUUCGAUGGGAGUAUGUUGCCUCAAAGCACCCCAAACAGGAAGAUGGAUACAACUGUGGCAUUUUCAUAUUGAAGGUACUGAAACACACAAUUUUG